GACAGAGGUGCCAAGCGUUUAGGCGGAAUCACUGGGCUUUAAAGCGUGUGUAGGCGGAUCGUUUAAGUACCUUGUGAAAUCCCACGGCUCAACCGUGGAACUGCUGGGUAUACUGGCGAUCUUUGAGCCACCUAGGGGCGAGCGGAACAAACGGUGGAGCGGUGAAAUGCGUAGAUAUCGUUUUGGAACGCCAACGGUGAAAAACAGCUCGCUGGGGGGUGUGCUGACGCUGAGACACGAAAAGCCAGGGGGGAGCGAAACGGGG
rnacentral:rRNA from 1 species